rnacentral:lncRNA from 1 species
CUCAUCGGUUAAGAGCAGUGGCUGCUCGUCUGGAGGCCCUGAAUUCAAUUCCCAGUAACUACAUGGUGGCUCACAGCCAUCUCCAACUGUAGUCCCAUAGGAAUCUGAUGCCCUCUUCUGGUUUGUACAUGUAUUUGCAGACAUAUGCAUAAAUAAAUGGAAAAAAGAAAGUGGCAUCCCCUAAUGGGAUGUGUAUGUGUGGAAGAAACGCCAGAUUCAGUGAGGACAUUGUUCGAUAAUAGAAUUGGGAACUGAGAGUUUGAUCAGUCACUGAAAAAACACUGGGAUCAUUCGAAGGAGUAGACCUGGAGAGACGACCACACGUUUUGUAUUCUUAAAGAUAUAAAUUAAGCCUGCCUGUGGGAACCUGGAAGUCCUGCCUCUUCCACCCAGUCAUUGGCUGCUACAACUUAACUGAUCGAUCAAGAACCAAUUGGGGAACAAGACCUUCAGCGUUCACAGAUCAGAACCACCCCCUACAGUGCCGUGACAAACACCGUGACAAACACCGUGACUAAAAAC